rnacentral:rRNA from 1 species
UACGUAGGGCGCAAGCGUUGUCCGGAAUUAUUGGGCGUAAAGAGCUCGUAGGCGGUCUGUCGCGUCUGCUGUGAAAAUCCAGGGCUUAACCCUGGACCUGCAGUGGGUACGGGCAGACUAGAGUGCGGUAGGGGAGAUCGGAAUUCCUGGUGUAGCGGUGAAAUGCGCAGAUAUCAGGAGGAACACCGGUGGCGAAGGCGGAUCUCGUGGGCCG